rnacentral:misc_RNA from 1 species
UCGAUUUCCACACGCCCUAUGGCUGCUCGAAGGGCGCCGCCGAUCAAUAUGUGCUCGAUUAUGCGCGCAGCUUCGGCAUCCCGUCGGCCGUGAUCCGCAUGAGCUGCAUCUACGGAGUCCGGCAGAUGGGCACCGAGGAUCAGGGCUGGGUCGCCCAUUUCUUGAUCCGCGCGCUCGAAGGGCAGCCGAUCACGCUCUACGGCGACGGCUAUCAGGUGCGCGACAUCCUCGACGUAUCGAACGCGAUCGAAGCCUAUCUCCACGCCUGGCAGC